rfam:Luteibacter rhizovicinus DSM 16549 Contig_52, whole genome shotgun sequence.
AAGCAUCGCUUUUAACGCCACACACGCAUCGGCACCGCCUUCGGGGUGCCUGGCCCGACAGGGCCGGGUCGAAGCCGGGGAUGCGUGGAGGUCCCAAC